rnacentral:rRNA from 1 species
ACAGGGGGAUAACCCGGAGAAAUCCGGACUAAUACCCCAUAAUAUGGGCGCUCCGCAUGGAGGGCUCAUUAAAGAGAGCAAUUUUGGUUACAGACGAGCAUGCGCUCCAUUAGCCAGUUGGCGGGGUAACGGCCCACCAAAGCGACGAUGGAUAGGGGUUCUGAGAGGAAGGUCCCCCACAUUGGAACUGAGACACGGUCCAAACUCCUACGGGAGGCAGCAGUGAGGAAUAUUGGUCAAUGGUCGGCAGACUGAACCAGCCAAGUCGCGUGAGGGAAGACGGCCCUACGGGUUGUAAACCUCUUUUGUCGGAGAGUAAAGUACGCUACGUGUAGCGUAUUGCAAGUAUCCGAAGAAAAAGCAUCGGCUAACUCCGUGCCAGCAGCCGCGGUAAUACGGAGGAUGCGAGCGUUAUCCGGAUUUAUUGGGUUUAAAGGGUGCGUAGGCGGCACGCCAAGUCAGCGGUGAAAUUUUCGGGCUCAACCCGGACUGUGCCGUUGAAACUGGCGAGCUAGAGUGCACAAGAGGCAGGCAGAAUGCGUGGUGUAGCGGUGAAAUGCAUAGAUAUCACGCAGAACCCCGAUUGCGAAGGCAGCCUGCUAGGGUGCGACAGACGCUGAGGCACGAAAGCGUGGGUAUCGAACAGGAUUAGAUACCCUGGUAGUCCACGCAGUAAACGA